rnacentral:snRNA from 1 species
GCUUAGAAGCAGUAAACAGUUUU